GUUGAAAGGUUGUUUAAAGGUAUCACAGAGUUCAAUCAAGGAGAAAGGAAAUCAGGUUGCCUCCUUUUCCUAACGAUUUUGUAUUUGAAUGCCCUCGACACCGGUGAUGUUGUAGAUCAAUCUGCGGAAGUAAUAGUUUCUGUUUGGACAUGAAGCUUGGUAACUCAAAUCACCGGAAUGGAUAGAGGUAUCUGAUUCUGAAUUUGGGAAGUUAUAUCUCAAAGCUAAAUAUCAAAGGAACUCCCCAACAAUGCUGAUACAACCACAAAUAUGACAU